rnacentral:rRNA from 1 species
UACGUAGGGUGCAAGCGUUGUCCGGAAUUAUUGGGCGUAAAGAGCUCGUAGGCGGUCUGUCGCGUCUGCUGUGAAAACUCGGGGCUUAACCCCGGGCCUGCAGUGGGUACGGGCAGACUAGAGUGCGGUAGGGGAGACUGGAAUUCCUGGUGUAGCGGUGAAAUGCGCAGAUAUCGGGAGGAACACCAGUGGCGAAGGCGGCCAACUGGGCCAUUCCUGACGCUGAGACGCGAAAGCCAGGGGAGCGAACCGG